rnacentral:rRNA from 1 species
CCUACGGGUGGCAGCAGUGGGGAAUAUUGGGCAAUGGGCGCAAGCCUGACCCAGCAACGCCGCGUGAAGGAAGAAGGCUUUCGGGUUGUAAACUCCUUUUCUCAGGGACGAAGCAAGUGAUGGUACCAGAGGAAUAAGCCACGGCUAACUACGGGCCAGCAGCCGUGGUAAUAAGUAGGUGGCAAGCGUCAUCCGGAUUUACUGGGUGUAAAGGGGGUGUAGGCGGGGACGCAAGUCAGAUGUGAAAGCCACGGGCUCAACCUGUGGACUGAAUUUGAAACUGUGUUUCUGGAAUACUGGAGAGGCAAAGGGAAUUCCUGGUGUAGCGGUGAAAUGCGUAGAUAUUAGGAGGAACAUCAGUGGCGAAGGCGGUCUACUGGACAGCAACUGACGCUGAGGCGCGAAAGCGUGGGGAGCAAACAGGAUUAGAUACCCGAGUAGUC